rnacentral:tRNA from 1 species
GGCCCUGGUCCGGCAGGCAACUGAUAGACCGCGAACCCUCCAGUUGCCGUUCCUAAACCGCGUGCCGCUGGUUCGACUCCAGCCGGGGCCACCA